GAUGAACGCUGGCGGCGUGCUUAACACAUGCAAGUCGAACGAAGAUGCCGGAGUGCUUGCACUUCGGCAGACUGAGUGGCGGACGGGUGAGUAACGCGUGGGUAACCUGCCUUAUACAGGGGGAUAACAGUUGGAAACGACUGCUAAUACCGCAUAAGCGCACGGUAUCGCAUGAUACAGUGUGAAAAACUCCGGUGGUAUAAGAUGGACCCGCGUCUGAUUAGCUUGUUGGUGAGGUAACGGCCCACCAAGGCGACGAUCAGUAGCCGGCCUGAGAGGGUGAACGGCCACAUUGGGACUGAGACACGGCCCAAACUCCUACGGGAGGCAGCAGUGGGGAAUAUUGCACAAUGGGGGAAACCCUGAUGCAGCGACGCCGCGUGAGUGAUGAAGUAUUUCGGUAUGUAAAACUCUAUCAGCAGGGAAGAUAAUGACGGUACCUGACUAAGAAGCACCGGCUAAAUACGUGCCAGCAGCCGCGGU
rnacentral:rRNA from 1 species